GGGAGAGUGAAGGGUGCCUGGUGGCCCUCGCGGUCUUCAAAACCGUUGUGAGUCGGUCGACCCGGCUCAGGAGUGUUCGAUUCGCUCCCUCUCCGCCA
rnacentral:tRNA from 1 species